CCUACGGGAGGCUGCAGUAGGGAAUAUUGCUCAAUGGGGGAAACCCUGAAGCAGCAACGCCGCGUGGAGGAUGAAGGUUUUCGGAUUGGAAACUCCUUUUGUUAGAGAAGUAAAUGACGGUAUCUAACGAAUAAUCACCGGCUAACUCCGUGCCAGCAGCCGCGGUAAUACGGAGGGCGCAAGCGUUACCCGGAAUCACCGGGCGUAAAGGGAGCGUAGGCGGGAUAGCAAGUCAGAUGUGAAAUCCUGUGGCUUAACCGUAGAACUGCAUUUGAAACUGUUAUUCUAGAGUAUGGGAGAGGUAGGUGGAAUUCUUGGUGUAGAGGUGAAAUCCGUAGAGAUCAAGAGGAAUACUCAUUGCGAAGGCGGCCUGCUAGAACAUAACUGACGCUGAUGCGCGAAAGCGUGGGGAGCAAACAGGAUUAGAUACCCGUGUAGUC
rnacentral:rRNA from 1 species